rnacentral:tRNA from 1 species
AAGAAGUUAGUUUAACUUAAAACAUAAACUUGUCAAGUUUAUAAUAUUAUUAUAUUUUACUUCUUU